AGAGUUUGAUCCUGGCUCAGAGCGAACGCUGGCGGCAGGCUUAACACAUGCAAGUCGAGCGCUGUAGCAAUACAGAGCGGCAGACGGGUGAGUAACGCGUGGGAACAUACCCUUCGGUUCGGAAUAGCUCAGGGAAACUUGAAUUAAUACCGGAUACGGCCGGAAGGCGAAAGAUUUAUCGCCGAAGGAUUGGCCCGCGUUCGAUUAGCUAGUUGGUGAGGUAACGGCUCACCAAGGCGACGAUCGAUAGCUGGUCUGAGAGGAUGAUCAGCCACAUUGGGACUGAGACACGGCCCAAACUCCUACGGGAGGCAGCAGUGGGGAAUAUUGGACAAUGGGCGCAAGCCUGAUCCAGCCAUGCCGCGUGAGUGAUGACGGCCUUAGGGUUGUAAAGCUCUUUCGCUAGGGACGAUAAUGACGGUACCUAGACAAGAAGCCCCGGCUAACUUCGUGCCAGCAGCCGCGGUAAUACGAAGGGGGCUAGCGUUGUUCGGAAUUACUGGGCGUAAAGCGCGUGUAGGCGGGCUUUUAAGUCAGGGGUGAAAUGCCAAGGCUCAACCUUGGAACUGCCUUUGAUACUGGAAGUCUUGAGUCCGGGAGAGGUGAGUGGAACUGCGAGUGUAGAGGUGAAAUUCGUAGAUAUUCGCAAGAACACCAGUGGCGAAGGCGGCUCACUGGCCCGGAACUGACGCUGAGACGCGAAAGCGUGGGGAGCAAAUAGGAUUAGAUACCCUGGUAGUCCACGCUGUAAACGAUGGAUGCUAGCCGUUGGGGAGCUUGCUCUUCAGUGGCGCAGCUAACGCUUUAAGCAUCCCGC
rnacentral:rRNA from 1 species